ensembl:lncRNA
GCAUCGGCGAAGGGUUGUAAUAGUCCAAAUGGACCUACAACAUUGGGCCCUUUUCGUAGUUGUAUGUAGCCUAGUAGUUUUCGUUCGACGAGUGUGAGGAAUGCUAUGGCAGCUAAUGUGGGUAUGAUUAUAAGUAGGAGGUUUACUGUGGUCAUGGUGUUAAGAAGAGGAGUUGAACCUCUGGUUACAAAGUUUUAAGUUUUAUGCAAUUGCCGGGCUCUGCCAUCUUAACAAACCCUGUUUUCGGGUGGAAUGUGUGGUAUUUUGCUAAAUUAAGACUAGGUCAUUUAUGUAAUGAAGGCGCUUUGUGAAGUGGGCCUUAUUUCUCUUGUCCUUCGUACAGGGAGAAAUGUGCAAUAGAUAGAAACCGACCUGGAUUGCUCCGGUCUGAACUCAGAUCACGUAGGACUUUAAUCGUUGAACAAACGAACCCUUGAUAGCUGCUGCACCAUUAGGAUGUCCUGAUCCAACAUCGAGGUCGUAAGCUCUAUUGUCGAUAUGGACUCUAGAAUAGAAUUGCGCUGUUAUCCCUAGGGUAACUUGUUCCGUUGAUCAAAUUAUUGGAUCAAUUAUGAGUGUUAGUUCGCUUUGACUUGUGUGGUCUUAGCAUGUGUUAUUCGGAGGUUUUGUUGUGCUCCGAGGUCGCCCCAACCAAAAUUUUUAAUGCAGGUGCUAGUAGUUUAAAGGUCCGUGGGUUUGUGUGAUUUUUGGUUGCAUUAAUAGAUUAAAGCUCCAUAGGGUCUUCUCGUCUUAUUGUUUUAUGCCCGCCUCUUCACGGGCAGGUCAAUUUCACUGGUUAAAGGUAAGAGACAGUUAAACCUUCGUGGUGCCUUUCAUGCGAGUCCCUAUUUAAAGAACAAGUGAUUAUGCUACCUUUGCACGGUCAGGGUACCACGGCCGUUAAACGUGUGUCACUGGGCAGGCAGUGCCUCUAAUACUAGUAAUGCUAGAGGUGAUGUUUUUGGUAAACAGGGCGAGGUUUGGGUUUGCCGAGUUCCUUUUACUUUUUAACCUUUCCUUGGGGCAUGCCUGUGUUGGGUUAACAGUGAAGGUGGCAUGGGCUUGUUUGUGCUUGUUAUGCCUGGCUGUUAAAUAUCGGUGAGGCUUUCGGUCCGAUUUAGGCUUAUGCAGCGGAGAAAAUAUUCAUGUUACUUAUACUAGCAUUAUUGCUUCUAUAUGGUGAUAGAUUAAUCCAAUGUGGUGUGAGGAGUUCAGUUAUGUGUUUGGUAUUUUUGUGGUGGUUAGUGUUGAGCUUGAACGCUUUCUUAAUUGAUGGCUGCUUUUAAGCCAACUAUGGUGAUUGAGGGUUUUACUCUCUCCGUAAGGUUUUUUCCUAGUGUCUAAAGAGCUGUCCCUCUUUAGACUAGCAGUUAAGCUUACAGGGGGAUUAGGUAGUUCUAUAGGUAAGCUUAAGGUUGAACUAAGAUUCUGUCUUGGAUAACCAGCUAUCACCAGGCUCGGUAGGCUUGUCACCUCUACCCAGAAAUCUUCCCACUAUUUUGCCACAUAGGCGGGUGCGCUCUUUUAGCUGUUUUUGGGUAGCUCGUCUGGUUUCGGGGGAUUUGGCUUGUAGUCCUCUUCGUGAAAUUGUUUCUAGCUAAUUCAUUAUGCGAAAGGUACAGGAGUUAGUCCUUGCUGUUUUGUGCUUGGGUGGUUUUUACUUUUCCCUUACGGUACUAUGUCUAUAGCGCCAGGUUAAAAUUUCUAUCGCCUAUACUUUGUGUAGGUGAAUGGUUUAGUGUGUGUUGGUUUGGUAUUAGUGUUGGUUAUGCUUAGGGCUAGUAUUGGC